GAGGGACGGUCAUAAUAAAGUUUACAAGUCAUUUUCAGAUGAGCUUGACUGCAAGACCCACGAGUCGAGCAAGGACGAAAGCCGGCCUUGGUGAUCUGACAGUGUUGAGUGGAAGGGCCGUCGCUCAAC
rnacentral:rRNA from 1 species